GAAUGAAAUGAUGUUUUGAUUUUUUCCCUAUUGGUUUGAUUGCCUAUAUGAUGGCAAAGCCAGUAUUAGCUCUAGCUCAUCAUUC
rnacentral:snoRNA from 1 species